GAAAAAGAGGAGUGGCGAACGGGUGAGUAACACGUGGGUAACCUGCCCAUCAGAAGGGGAUAACACUUGGAAACAGGUGCUAAUACCGUAUAACAAUCGAAACCGCAUGGUUUUGAUUUGAAAGGCGCUUUCGGGUGUCGCUGAUGGAUGGACCCGCGGUGCAUUAGCUAGUUGGUGAGGUAACGGCUCACCAAGGCCACGAUGCAUAGCCGACCUGAGAGGGUGAUCGGCCACAUUGGGACUGAGACACGGCCCAAACUCCUACGGGAGGCAGCAGUAGGGAAUCUUCGGCAAUGGACGAAAGUCUGACCGAGCAACGCCGCGUGAGUGAAGAAGGUUUUCGGAUCGUAAAACUCUGUUGUUAGAGAAGAACAAGGAUGAGAGUAACUGUUCAUCCCUUGACGGUAUCUAACCAGAAAGCCACGGCUAACUACGUGCCAGCAGCCGCGGUAAUACGUAGGUGGCAAGCGUUGUCCGGAUUUAUUGGGCGUAAAGCGAGCGCAGGCGGUUUCUUAAGUCUGAUGUGAAAGCCCCCGGCUCAACCGGGGAGGGUCAUUGGAAACUGGGAGACUUGAGUGCAGAAGAGGAGAGUGGAAUUCCAUGUGUAGCGGUGAAAUGCGUAGAUAUAUGGAGGAACACCAGUGGCGAAGGCGGCUCUCUGGUCUGUAACUGACGCU
rnacentral:rRNA from 1 species